UACGAAGGGGGCUAGCGUUGUUCGGAAUUACUGGGCGUAAAGCGCACGUAGGCGGACAUUUAAGUCAGGGGUGAAAUCCCGGAGCUCAACUCCGGAACUGCCUUUGAUACUGGGUGUCUUGAGUGUGGAAGAGGUGAGUGGAAUUCCGAGUGUAGAGGUGAAAUUCGUAGAUAUUCGGAGGAACACCAGUGGCGAAGGCGGCUCACUGGUCCAUUACUGACGCUGAGGUGCGAAAGCGUGGGAGCAAACAGG
rnacentral:rRNA from 1 species